ACUAUGUUAUUGAAUAGGGUAAACGUACCGGUUUGCCGGCCACUACCCCUUUCCGGCCACUUCGCACCUUAUUUUGAAUAAUAGGAUAGUAUUGAGACAUCUCCUUUCUAAUUUCGCGCCACUCGACCUGGACGAACAUCACGGUUCAUAAUCCAACGGCAUGACCUCGAAAUUUGCGGACUGAACCCUCAGUCACCAUUUCAAAAUUUGGUGUGUGGUUGCGUGGCAAAUUUAGCAGAAAAAAUAGCAGGUGGAUUGAUUUUCAGAGGUAAGUUUUUAAGUGUUCCUACUGUUUUAUUAGUGAUUGAAUGGGUUUGUGUGUAGUAAAGUAUGUUUAAUUUCAAUAUUCAAUUGCCUAAACUAACAAACCUUUUCAAAAUUAGUAAUAUUUUCGGUGGUCGGACAAUAGGUUAUCGAUUUAUUUCAAAAUCUAGUUUCCGGCCGGGUGGUCGGAAACCGGUAUAUUGUAGUCAUUAAAUUUUGCCUAUAUUGCGGAAACCUUAAAUGCACUAACAUAGAUUCCAUUAUAUUAGUGAACAGCUAGAAUUUUGCGAAUUGACAACUAGAUUCCGGCCGGCAGAAUGCCUCAUAGUUUCAAAGAUAUGACCUUAAAAAAAUAACGAAUGUUUAGCGGCCGAUAACCAGUUAAAACAAAACCUGUUUCCGGCCAUCGAAAUAAGCGGCCGAAAAUGGGUAAAAAUUACACCUGAUUCCGGCCGUCUGAAAUAGCAGGCGGCCGAAAAUUGGUAAAAUUAAACCUGAUUCCGGCCAUUAGAUAAUAAAACGGCCGAUAAUGUUUAUCGAUGCCAAUGCCAAGAGUAGCUAAUUUGACUUAAAAUUUUAAUUUGUUUUUUAAAAACCCUAUGAACUACUGAAUAAGACUCGUUUUUCUACUGUGAAUUAGGUGGCCGAUAACCAGUGCACUGGUGGACGAUAACUGGGUAAAAUGGCCGAUAACCGGUAUAUUU